UACAGAGGUCUCAAGCGUUGUUCGGAUUCAUUGGGCGUAAAGGGUGCGUAGGUGGCUUGGUAAGUUGAAGGUGAAAUCUCGGGGCUUAACUCCGAAACUGCCUUCAAUACUGCUGAGCUCGAGGAUUGUAGAGGAGAAUGGAAUUCACGGUGUAGCAGUGAAAUGCGUAGAUAUCGUGAGGAACACCGGUGGUGUAGACGGCUUUCUGGACCGUAACUGACGCUGAGACACGAAAGCGUGGGUAGCAAACAGG
rnacentral:rRNA from 1 species